GACAGAGGGGGCAAGCGUUGUUCGGAAUUACUGGGCGUAAAGGGCUCGUAGGCGGCCAACUAAGUCGGAUGUGAAAUCCCCAGGCUUAACCUGGGAACUGCAUCCGAUACUGGAUGGCUUGAAUUCGGGAGAGGGAUGCAGAAUUCCAGGUGUAGCGGUGAAAUGCGUAGAUAUCAGGAAGAACACCCGUGGCGAAGGCGGUUCUCUGGGACGGUACUGACGCUGAGACGCGAAAGCGUGGGGAGCGAACAGG
rnacentral:rRNA from 1 species